UAGGGAAUCUUCCGCAAUGGGCGAAAGCCUGACGGAGCAACGCCGCGUGAGUGAUGAAGGUAUUCGGAUCGUAAAACUCUGUUAUUAGGGAAGAACAAAUGUGUAAGUAACUAUGCACGUCUUGACGGUACCUAAUCAGAAAGCCACGGCUAACUACGUGCCAGCAGCCGCGGUAAUACGUAGGUGGCAAGCGUUAUCCGGAAUUAUUGGGCGUAAAGCGCGCGUAGGCGGUUUUUUAAGUCUGAUGUGAAAGCCCACGGCUCAACCGUGGAGGGUCAUUGGAAACUGGAAAACUUGAGUGCAGAAGAGGAAAGGGGAAUUCCAUGUGUAGCGGUGGAAUGCGCAGAGAUAUGGAGGAACACCAGUGGCGAAGGCGACUUUCUGGUCUGUAACCGACGCUGAUGUGCGAAAGCGUGGGGAUGAAACAGG
rnacentral:rRNA from 1 species